UACGUAGGGGGCAAGCGUUGUCCGGAAUCAUUGGGCGUAAAGCGCGUGUAGGCGGCCCGAUAAGUCCGCUGUGAAAGUCGGGGGCUCAACCCUCGGAUGCCGGUGGAUACUGUCGGGCUAGAGUGCGGAAGAGGCGAGUGGAAUUCCUGGUGUAGCGGUGAAAUGCGCAGAUAUCAGGAGGAGCACCAAUUGCGAAGGCAGCUCGCUGGGACGUGACUGACGCUGAGACGCGAAAGCGUGGGGAGCAAACAGG
rnacentral:rRNA from 1 species